AUUCAGAAACAAAAAAAUGACUCAUUUCUUCCUGGAGGCCUGGUGUGCAAAGGCUGGAAACAGCAGCCUCACUAGUAGUGUAUGCAGCCUGUUGCUUGUAUUGAUUGCUCUAAGGGACCUUGGAGAUAGUA